GGAGCCCUAAAUAGUCCACCUUGC
rnacentral:piRNA from 1 species